rnacentral:rRNA from 1 species
GUCUAUAGCCACACCACCCUGAAUGCACCCGAUCUCGUCUGAUCUCGGAAGCUAAGCAGGGUCAGGUCUCGUUCGUACUUGGAUGGGAAAGGGAGCAUGAAAAGAUACACUUAGAUA